AUGGUGCAGAGACCUUCACAGGUGGCAGAGGGAGGUAGUCAUCAAACUCACAAGUCAAAUCAAAAUAUCCACUUCUCCAUUAGAUUGUUGCUCUCUCUCUCUCUCUCUCUCUCUCUCUCUCUCUCUCUCUCUCGUUCAUUGGUUCUAAUUCAUUGGAAGGACAGAGCCUCAACACUAUGACUUAGUACAUUUACAUUACAUUUAGUCAUUUAGCAGACGCUUUUAUCCAAAGCGACUUACAAAUGGGGACAAUGGAAGCAAUCAAAAUCAACAAAAGAGCAAUGAUAUGCAAGUGCUAUAACAAGUCUCAGUUAGGUUUAGGUUGUUUAAAUCAUAUAAUAAAUAAAAAUAAAACAAACAAAAAAAAUUUAUAAUAAAUAAAAAGAAAACCGAUAGAAUACAAAAAGAAUAGAGAAGCUAGUGUUAAUUUCUUUUUUCUUCUUUUUUUAAAAGAAAACACGCUGUUAAUUAGUGCAAGUCUAAAAGGGGCUAAUUAUUAUUUUUUUAAGAAUAGAAUUAGAACAGAGAGUGCUAGAGUUAGAUGGUCAAAUAAAGAUGGAAGAGAUGUGUUUUUAGCCGAUUCUUAAGAUGUCUAAGGACUCAUUCCACCAGGGGGGAACAUUUAAUUUAAAAGUCUGUGUAAGUGAUUUUGUGUCUUUUUGGGAUGGCAAAAUCAAGUGACGUUCACUUGCAGAAUGCAAGCUUCUAGAGGGCACAUAAAUCUGAAGUACUGAAUUUAGGUAAAGGGGUGCAGAGCCAGUGGUGGUUUUGUAGACAAACAUUUAUGCCUUAAAUUUUAUGUGAGCAGCUACUGGCAGCCAGUGCAAAUUGAUAAAAAGAGCUGUGACGCUAAAAAUUAAUCUUGCUGCUGCGUUCUGGAUUAAUUGUAUGACCUGCCAAGAGAGCAUUGCAAUAGUCCAGCCUGAACAGAACAAGUGCUUGAACAAGGAGUUGUGAAGCAUGUUCCGAAAGAAAGGGUCUGAUCUUCUUGAUGUUGAAUAAACUAAUCUGCAGGACCAGGCAUUUUUAGCAAUGUGGUCUGAGAAAGUUAGCUGAUCAUCAAUCAUAACUCCAAGGUUUCUGUCUGUUUUUGAAGAAGUUAUGGUUGAUGUGCCUAACUGGAUGGUGAAAUUGUGAUGAAAUGAUGGGUUUGAUGGAACCACAAGCAGUUCUGUCUUGGCAAGGUUGAGUUGAAGGUGAUGGUUCUUCAUCCAGCAAGAAAUGUCUGUUAAACAAGUUGAGAUGCAAGCAGCUAUCAUCGAAUCAUCAGGUUGGAACGAGAGGUAGAGUUGAGUGUCAUCAGCAUAGCAGUGAUAUGAAAAGCCAUGUUUUUGAAUGACAGAACCAAGUGAUGCUAUGUAGACAGAGAAGAGAAGUGAUCCAAGAACAGAGCCCGGAUGCACCCCAGUAGUUAGAUGUUGCGACUUGGACACCUCACCUCUCCAAGAUACCUUGAAGGACCUAUCUGAGAGAUAAGACUCAAACCACUUGAGUGCGGUUCCCGAGAUGCCCUUUGCCAAUAGGGUUGACAGGAGGAUCUGUAGGUUAACCAUGUCAAAAGCAGCGGACAGAUCCAGCAACAUAAGUAUUUAAGAUUUGGAAUCCGCUUUUGCCAGUGUUAGGGCUUCAACAACUGAGAGCAAGGCAGUCUCGGUUGAAUGUCCACUUCUGAAACCAGACUGGUUGCUGUCAAGGAGGUUGUUCUGUGUGAGAAAGGCAGAGACUUGGUUGAGCACAGCUCGUUCAAGUGUUUUUGCAAUGAAAGGAAGAAGAGAAACCAGUCUGUAGUUCUCUAAAAGAGGUAGAUUAAGGGUGGUAAAUUAGAAAUGAAAAUAUUUGGUAUUUUGAGAAAACUAGAUACAAUAUAUUAAUAAUAAUGAAGAUAUGUUAACAUACUUUGGGAUCUGAAAUUGCAUUAAAAAUGCAAUAUUCUAAUUUAAAACCUGAAAAUAACAAUUUUCUAAAGAUUUUAAAAGCAACACAUUUUGAAAAUAAAUAUUUAAGAUUCUGCCCUAGGCGCCACUAAUAAAAUAAAUUUGUGACAGUUUAUGCUAAAUUCUUUGUAGGGAUGGUCAGAUGUUCUUGUUUCCAUUGAAGCCAUUUUAUGCAAACUCGUGUAAAUGUUCAUUCAGCUGCAAAACUCCUGGAAUUUAUCAAUGAUAUUUUUUAACUCCAUUUGCUAUGCUGUUAAUACAAUGCAUAAAU
ensembl:lncRNA